rnacentral:rRNA from 1 species
GACGAACGCUGGCGGCGUGCUUAACACAUGCAAGUCGAGCGGUAAGGCCCUUUCGGGGGUACACGAGCGGCGAACGGGUGAGUAACACGUGGGUGACCUGCCCUCAGCUCUGGGAUAAGCCUGGGAAACUGGGUCUAAUACUGGAUAUGACUCCACGGUGCAUGUCGUGGGGUGGAAAGCCUUGUGCGGCUGAGGAUGGGCCCGCGGCCUAUCAGCUUGUUGGUGGGGUGANGGCCUACCACGGCGACGACGGGUAGCCGGCCUGAGAGGGCGACCGGCCACACUGGGACUGAGACACGGCCCAGACUCCUACGGGAGGCAGCAGUGGGAAUCUUGCGCAAUGGGCGAAAGCCUGACGCAGCGACGCCGCGUGAGGGAUGACGG